AUUAUUGGACAAUGAGCGCAAGCCUCAUCCAGCCAAACCGCGUGAGCGAUAAAGGCCCUACUGUUGUAAAGCUCUUUCACCGUUUAAGAUAAUGACGGUCCCCGGAGAAGUAGCCGCGGCUAACUGCCUGCCAGCAGCCGCGGUAAUACGAAGGGGGCUAGCGUUCUUCGGAAUUACUGGGCGUAAAGCGCACGUAGGCGGAUCGGUCAGUUAGGGGUGAAAUCCCGGAGCUCAACCCCGGAACUGCCUUUAAUACUGCCGGUCUAGAGUCCGAGAGAAGUGAGUGGAAUUCCGAGUGUAGAGGUGAAAUUCGUAGAUAUUCGGAGGAACACCAGUGGCGAAGGCGGCUCACUGGCUCGGUACUGACGCUGAGGUGCGAAAGCGUGGGGAGCAAAC
rnacentral:rRNA from 1 species